AUUGGGCCCGACGUCGCAUGCUCCCGGCCGCCAUGGCGGCCGCGGGAAUUCGAUUAGAGUUUGAUCAUGGCUCAGAUUGAACGCUGGCGGCAGGCCUAACACAUGCAAGUCGAGCGGUAGAGAGGUGCUUGCACCUCUUGAGAGCGGCGGACGGGUGAGUAAUGCCUAGGAAUCUGCCUGGUAGUGGGGGAUAACGCUCGGAAACGGACGCUAAUACCGCAUACGUCCUACGGGAGAAAGCAGGGGACCUUCGGGCCUUGCGCUAUCAGAUGAGCCUAGGUCGGAUUAGCUAGUUGGUGGGGUAAUGGCUCACCAAGGCGACGAUCCGUAACUGGUCUGAGAGGAUGAUCAGUCACACUGGAACUGAGACACGGUCCAGACUCCUACGGGAGGCAGCAGUGGGGAAUAUUGGACAAUGGGCGAAAGCCUGAUCCAGCCAUGCCGCGUGUGUGAAGAAGGUCUUCGGAUUGUAAAGCACUUUAAGUUGGGAGGAAGGGCAUUAACCUAAUACGUUAGUGUUUUGACGUUACCGACAGAAUAAGCACCGGCUAACUCUGUGCCAGCAGCCGCGGUAAUACGAAUCACUAGUGAAUUCGCGGCCGCCUGCAGGUCGACCAUAUGGGAGAGCUCCCAACGCGU
rnacentral:rRNA from 1 species